AUGGAAUUGAGUUUGUCUCAUACGCUUGACCUUUUUAAUAUCUUUCGUGAGUAUGAUGGAAAUGAUAAUUGUGCUCAAGUGCUAGAAGAAGAAAUCUAUAAAAUGUUUGGCACUAAAUAUUUGAAUGAUGAGCAUGAUUGCAAUGUUGUUAGUAUGAAUUCCUUGAAUAUCCAUGAUGCUAAUGAUAUGCAAAGCCACAAGCUUGGGGAAGCUAUGUUUGAUGAAGAUGAUAUCUUUUGUCCCCCAAGUUUUGAUGAGCAAAUUUAUUAUGACGAAAGCAUGCCUCCUAUCUAUGAUGAUUAUUGUGAUGACAUGUAUGCUUUAAAGAAUAAUGAUAUCCAUGAAACUUGUCAUCAUGAUUUUAGUUUUCAAUUGGAUUAUGCCUCACAUGAUAAUUAUUUUGUUGAGUUUGCUCCCACUAUUAUUCAUGAGAAGAAUUUUGCUUAUGUGGAGAGUAGUAAAUUUUGCAUGCUUGUAGAUCAUGAAAAGAAUGCUUUAGGUGCUGGUUAUAUUGUUGAAUUCAUUCAUGAUGCUACUGAAAAUUAUUAUGAGGGAGGAACAUAUGCUUGUAGGAAUUGCAAUAAUAUCAAGUUUCCCCUCUAUGUGCUUAAAGUUUUGAAGUUAUGCUUGUUUUGCCUUCCUAUGCAAGUUGAUUCUUGUUCCCAUAAGUUGUUUGCUCACAAAAUCCCUAUUCAUAGGAAGUAUGUUAGACUUAAAUGUGCUAGUAAUAUUCUUCAUGAUGCUCUCUUUAUGUUUCAAUUCCUAUCCUUUAUGUGA
rnacentral:rRNA from 1 species